rnacentral:snRNA from 13 species
AUACUUACCUUGGGAGGGACUCCCUCGCUCAUCAUUGAGGGGGUUCAGCUCGGAAGGCCUGCAUUGCACAUCGCGGCGUCGUUCUGUCCUUCAUUGCCCUUCGGGGUCAUGGGUCCCGGAAUUUUUGAUUUACCACAAACUGUUUUCAUUGUGAG